GAGCAGCAUUCAUACCUUAUGUUUUAUAUCCCUCCUCAAGUGCUAGUAGAGAGCUGGGCACACGUCAGCAACUUAAUACAUACUUGUUAAUUCAUAUUGUCUCUCUCUCUCUCCUUCUCCGACAGGGGCACCACCAACACUUAAGCCUCCAUCUUCAGGCAAGAAAGUCUGUGAUAUGAAUGAAGGGAUCAUAAAAGGCACAUGGAAUCAAAGCUUUUGGUCAACUGCCAACAAGGUACAGAGGCCCAACAGCAAUCAUCGAAUGAGCUUGGAAGUGGAUCCUCUCACCCCAGUUGAGCCUUCUGAUGACUGCAGCCCUGGCUGAUGCUUGACUACAACUUCAUCAGAAAUCCUCAUGAAGAUCCAGCACCUUCCAGUUAGCCCAUCUGUGGGUUCUUGACCCUCAGAAAUUCUAUGAGAUAAUAAAUAUUUGUUGUUUUAAGUUGCUAAACUUUGGGAAAAUUUAUUUUUUGGUUUUGGGGGGUUUUUUGAGGCAGGGCCUUGCUCUGUUACCCAGACUGGAAUGCAGUGGUACAAUCACUGCUCACUGCAAUCUUGACUUCCUGGGCUCAAGCAAUCCUCCCAGCUAAACCUCACAAGUAGCUGAAACUACAGGUGUGGGUGCUACCACCCUCGGCUAAGUUUCUUUUUAUUAUUAUUACUAUUUUUUGGAGAGAUGGGGCCUCACUGUGUUGCCCAGGCUGGUCUCAAACUCUGGGGCUCGAGUGAUCCUCCUGCCUCAGUCUCCCAAAUGGCUGGGAUCACAGGUUUGAGCCACUGUGUCAGCCAGAAAAUUUAUUACUCAGUAGUAGAUUACUAUAUUGCUACUUUAUCACAUUAAAUCCUCUCAACGAUUCUGAUAGGUGAAGCUUAUUUAUCCCUUUUACAGAUGAGAAAAC
rnacentral:lncRNA from 1 species